rnacentral:rRNA from 1 species
GACGAACGCUGGCGGCGUGCUUAACACAUGCAAGUCGAACGGAGCGAAUGAAAGCUUGCUUUUAUAAGCUUAGUGGCAAACGGGUGAGUAACACGUAGACAACCUGCCGACAGGAUGGGGACAACAUUCCGAAAGGAAUGCUAAUACCGAAUGAAGUGCAGGGGAGGCAUCUCCCCUGCAUGAAAGAUGGCCUCUGAAUAUGCUAUUACCUGUUGAUGGGUCUGCGUCUGAUUAGCUGGUAGGUGAGGUAACGGCUCACCUAGGCGACGAUCAGUAGCCGGUCUGAGAGGAUGAACGGCCACAUUGGGACUGAGACACGGCCCAGACUCCUACGGGAGGCAGCAGUGGGGAAUCUUCCGCAAUGGGCGCAAGCCUGACGGAGCAACGCCGCGUGAGUGAAGAAGGUCUUCGGAUCGUAAAGCUCUGUUGAUGGGGACGAACGUGCCUAAUGCGAAUAGUAUUAGGUAAUGACGGUACCCAUC